GAAGCUUGAGUGCCCAAGGGUUUGAUAAAUGUGGAAAAUAACCGCUGUUCGAAUAUCCUGUUGGCCUGCUGGUGAGAUGUCAUCGUGUUGUCUGAAUGCAAAGAAAUGACUGGCUGAGGCUGUAAAGAAAUCUUGUGGUCAUUCUCAUGGAAAGAGGAUUGGAGCCCCGAUUCUUUGAUCUCAUUAUUGACCAGUUGAUUGAGAAGACUGUCCUCCUGUCCCCACCCAAUCACAAUAAGUGGGCUAGAGUGCAGCAUCGUGGUCUCAGCUCACCGAAACCUUGCCUCCCAGGUUCAAGCGAUUCUCCUGCCUCAGCCUUCCAAGUAGCUGGGAUUACAGACAUCCACCACCACCGUGUCAGGUUAAUUUUUGUAUUUUUAGUAGAGAAUGGGGUUUCACCAUUUUGGACAGGCUGG
rnacentral:lncRNA from 1 species